CAAAGACCUUGUGUGGGUACAAGUACCACAUAAUCUUGCCACAUAAACAAUGGGCAGCCAUAUUUACUGACCAUGUGAUUUCAGAGACAAGUGUUUUCAUACUCAUUGCGAUUUAGUUCCUCAAGUUUCAUCACUUUAUUCACUCUUUGUGGACCUUGAAAGACCCCAUUUUGAUUGUUAUCUCAAUCUCAAUCUACUCAAUCUACUAUCAGCAAUCACCACCAUGUUGUCAAGUGGCUUCAUUGUGUUUUGUGUGUGGUUCCUGGAUUGAUUGCGAAUACCAGUCACUUGGGAGUCCUUUUCUCAUAAGUUUGAGAACUAGUAGUCCGAAACUCCUCUGGGCACAAGUGAGCCCCGAGGCAGC